rnacentral:rRNA from 1 species
AUGUGCAGGAGAAGAGAGAUCAACUGGCAAGGUGACCUGAUGGCAGUGGCUGAUGUGGAGAGGAAGGGAGCGGCGCUGGAUUUAAGGGAUCUAUGGUCUGGCCGGGCAGAGCAAGCUCACAUGGGUAGCCAGUCUCCUUUUGACUGGCAAGCCAUCAUGCAAAGGGAAGCGGACGUCCUAAGGCGGGCUCGUGAUCGAGAAGCGUGCUUGAAGAAGAUUAAGCAGAGAGUUGCUCAAUUCUUCGUUCGAGAAGUGGAUGCAUCGGAAUUAGAGGUGUGCAGGGAAGUAUCUACAGAGAUAUCAGGCUCCAAUGAGGUUUAG